AUGAUGCCAUCACUUAAGGUAGAUUUGAAAAACUAUUUGCUUGGACAUGAUCAUACACACCCUGUUAGUGGCAUUGCUCAUAUCGCUGUUCAUGAUACUUAUGUUCCUAAUGCUAUACCCGUGCUUAAUGAAACGUGUGAUUCUAAUACUAGAAUCGAGCUUAUUGAUUUGUACCAUCCUAAACAUGUGCUUUAUAUCUAUGCUUAUGUAAUUGGAUAUUCGAUUGAUGACUUGGAGGGUAUUAUCCCUACCACUUGCAUUGUCUCAUUCGUUGAGUGCUUUUUCAGGUUCUUGCUUGUGCACGAAUCACUACAUGCUGACCAAGUUCGAGAUGAUUCCCUGGGACACCGGUGGACCCAUGGCAUGGGGAUGAGGAGAAGCAAGGAGCACACAUGA
rnacentral:rRNA from 1 species